rnacentral:sRNA from 1 species
GAGUGGCCGCUGAGUCCGUUUUCUUCUACUAAGGAGGCUAAGAGGGACUUCUAUCUCAAUGAGCCAUGUGUCUCCCCAGCCCUUUCAAUAUUCCUUGUCUGUGACAGUAUCUCAUGGCGUCUCAUUAACCUUGACUUGCUGUUUCGAUUACAACAAACAUAAACCCCCGAUCCUCCUGACUCUACCUCCCUAGACCUGGAUUCCAAGUGAGUUGGAAGCUACUCUGGGCUUUUGAGAUCAGACAGACCUGACACAACUAAUUAGAAACUCAAGAGGCUGAGGAUGGAGCUCUGUGGGGAGAGGCCUUGCCUGUGUCCACAGCCCUGCCUCGGAUCCCCAGCACCACAGGGCAGCAGCAGGAGGGUCUGAAAUUCAAGACUAACCUCAGCUACACAGCAACUUGAAGGGUAGCCUGAGCUCUAUGAGGUCACUGGCUAGAGGUCCUGGGCAUGGGAGGGGCAAAGGUCAUGACUGUGUGUGUGACCACAGGAAUAUCACUGCCCUCGAGCCUCCAGUGUGGUCUGAGACCACAAGGCCACAUUGCUCUUGCCUCAGAUGUCCUUUUCUAAGCUUCAAGGUGCUGAUCAGGAACCCAGAAACAAGCCAGGGGGGUUAAGAUAAGGCCUCCCUCACAUUUGUUUUCCAGGUGGAACCUGGAAUUCUGGAGCUGCCCAAUGAAACAGCCAGGACUGAACCUCCAUUAUAGUCUAAAACUGUCCAGCUCCCAAAGCAUUUGUAAAAGAAAGAGGUGUCUGAACGAAUGUCUGUCAAAGAUGAGGAAUGGAAUGAAGAGCAAAUUGAGAUUGAAGACAUCUCACACAUCCAGGAGCACCGCUGCCUAGCGAUGUUGGCUCUCUGUUUUUUCUUUCCACUAGGCUACUUAGCUUACCGCUCAAGUCAAAAGACAAGACUGUACAAGGAACAGAAGGAGUACGAGAAGGCCAAAGCCACCUCCAAAUUCACCUUCAUUUAUAUUUUGAGCUCCAUCACUGGAGGGUCCAUCAUCCUUUUCUGUUUAUUAUUCCGACUCUUCUAUAUGUAACCUCUGUCAUGGCCCAUGACACGUCCAUCAGAUACAUACAUCAGUGCAAGUGAGCCUGCCUGCCGCUUUGGAUUCCCUGGACCCCUUCCCUUUAAUGUGUGAAAGUGCCGGGCUGAAUGAGAUCAGAAAUAAAUUUUGUAACAACAAUGA